GGACAGAAGGGAGCUUGCUCCCGGACGUUAGCGGCGGACGGGUGAGUAACACGUGGGCAACCUGCCCCUUAGACUGGGAUAACUCCGGGAAACCGGAGCUAAUACCGGAUAAUCCCUUUCUCCACCUGGAGAGAGGGUGAAAGAUGGCUUCGGCUAUCACUAGGGGAUGGGCCCGCGGCGCAUUAGCUAGUUGGUAAGGUAACGGCUUACCAAGGCGACGAUGCGUAGCCGACCUGAGAGGGUGAUCGGCCACACUGGGACUGAGACACGGCCCAGACUCCUACGGGAGGCAGCAGUAGGGAAUCUUCCGCAAUGGACGAAAGUCUGACGGAGCAACGCCGCGUGAGUGAGGAAGGCCUUCGGGUCGUAAAGCUCUGUUGUGAGGGAAGAAGCGGUACCGUUCGAAUAGGGCGGUACCUUGACGGUACCUCACCAGAAAGCCACGGCUAACUACGUGCCAGCAGCCGCGG
rnacentral:rRNA from 2 species